UCGCGUCAUCUCUCUCUCUCUCUCUCUAGGACUGUGAGACUGUCUUUGCACGUUUAUCACCCCUGAAGUGAUCUUUUUUGGAUUCUUUGUUUCGUCUUCGACCGAGCCAUGGCCGGCUCAGAGAUUCUCCACAAGAUGAAGAUAACUGUCAAGGCACGAUUAAUCCGGUCUCUUGGUCUCUCUCUCUCUCGCUCGAAUCGAUGCUCCGUUUGCCUUUUUUUUUUUAAAUCGUUUGUUGUUGCGAAUCGGUUCAUUUUUGUAUAAUUCAACGAGCUACGUUUUCUCAGCAAACGGAUUUUCGAAUCUGGGUUUUGCUGCAACGGAGCUGUGAAGUGCGUUUGUGUAUUAGUUGUGGUCGAUUUGUGAUUUACUUGGCGUCAAUUUCGGUUGUGGAUAGGAGAUUUCGACGAAGAGGAACCAAAUGAUGGGCAGCACAAUUGGUUGGUCUCUAUUGUUUGCUUCUUCCGAGAGGCCUCUGAUUUGCAUCCUCUGUGUCUAGGGUUCCGAGAAUGUGUGUUGUUGUUUGAAUGUGUUAACACUGGAAUAACGGUCUGGAAGGAUUUUUUUUUUUGUUUGGUGUGAUGUUCUGAAUCGGUUUGUCUGGAUUUUUUGCUGUGCGCAGAGGAAAGUUGGGCGCGGUUCAUCUGCUUCUGCAGAUCCAGGUAAAGGGAAGAGUAAGAUGUCGAAGGAGCCCUUCGGGGCCAGGUCAAGUGGCAGAAGGCAGGGGCAACUCUUUGAGGUGGGGGAUCGAUUCCUCCCGCCGCUCCUUUUUCCAUCUGACCUGCUCGCCUGCCAGCCUGUCAUAACGGGCUGAUUUACCUCCCACGUGUGUGUCGCAGGCUCGUGUGCGUGGGCUUGGGGUUUGACCUGCAGGCGCCUAAGCCCAACUACGGCCCGAGCGUUAGGCGCGCCUGGUGGCCAGGUCCGGCGGACUGAGGUCCAUGGGGACUGUUAGGCGCGGGUGGUGGCCAGUUCGUCUCCGUUUGUAAGGGUAGUUAGUCACAGCGGUUCCCAAUCUAUUAAAAAAAAAAAAAAGAUGUCGAAGGACAUAACCCAUGGUUAUCUCUUGUUAUCACGAGAUAGAAGGUUACUCUCUCGCCAAAUUCAAGGAAGUUGGUGACAAUGUGCUCGGGCUGUUUGCGAUACAUGACGGUCCAUUUGAGAGAUUCCUGACUACUUGUGCUCCCAUCUAUUUGAAAAACAUCUUGAAAGAGCCCAAUUUCUGGGAGGAGCCCGAGAAAGUGAUGAAGAACUCCUAUAGUAUACAGAUACGUCGAUAUUAAUCAACUCCCAGAAGUUAGUAGGGCCAAUACUGCGGACUUUCGUGCUGUUCUUUGCAAGAAUGGUGUUGCGAAGAAACUCUCAGUUGAUCAUGAACCAAAUAUGGUGAAGGAGGGAAUUUUUUUUUUUGGUUGAAAUGAAGGAGGGAAUUGAGAAUAGAGGUGGAUUCAUUUCCAACUUUCUUGGGGAUGUUUCAUUGUGGCAUGGACAUUUGGUGACAAGAGUAUAAAGAUACAUUUGAGCUCAGAACCUGAUGUUCCGGCAGAGAUGAUUGAUGAGGAUGCAGACUUUCUUAUCCUAGCAAGGGAUGGAGAUGGACUGUGGAAGGUCAUGUCUAACCAAGAAGCUGUCUGACUUGAUAAAGGACAUAAAAGAUGCAGCAAAGCAUCUUACAGAGAGGAGGCUGUUGUAAGGAAAAGCGGAGACGACAUCUCAGUCAUCAUUGUGAAAUUUCAGUGACCUUGACUUUCGGACCACGGAGCAGAUGCUUAUAUACCAUCGAACCCCCUUUGAUAACUUUCCUGUGACAGUCUUUAUCAUCUUUACUCCUUGGGAGAGAACAGUACAGAGUAAGAGAAGGGGACCUACAGAUUUGAUUCCAUUGCGUCAUCUCUCUCAUUAAUGGUCACCGAAACGAGAGAGUUUUGCAAAAUCCAUCGUCUGUCCUUUGAGUUGAGACCAUCAACAGCAGAAUCAAAGAAAAACCCAUGUCCACACACCUCAAAUGGCAAGUAAAUCAUUUUGUUCUUUCUUUUACUGUGUAAUUCAUCUUUCAUUGGGAGUAAAAAACCACAGUAAAAAAGCUUUUUCCUGAUGAGUUUUUUUUUUUGGGAUUUCAAAAGUGAGAGCCAAGAAAACAGUGAAAAAAACAAGAAUACUAGAAUUAGUGGUUAGUGAUGGGGACAGGACACAAAAGGACUCAGAAGCCCAUCUGUCUGUAAUGAGUAUUGAGUGGUGACUUACUGAGUUAUUUCACACUGACUUUGGUCUUUUUUGUUGUGGGGCUUUCAAAGCUUCACAGUCCUUUUAUGGCCCCUAC